UCGAGUUCGCUUAGAGGCUUUGCCUUACAAAAAUUUCACAUUAAAAUCAAUAUCUAUUACGAAAUAUGAUAUAAGAAAUGGAUUUAAACCACUUAUGUGUGUCGUUAAGUUUCUUUGUUUGUCAUUGUGCGUCAUUUUACGCCGUAGGACGUUUAGUUUGACAAUGUUCAGAGUAUUGUAUAACCUCAUAAUAAAAAUUCCUACUUCCGAUUUUAAAACCGAAAGUGAGCGAUGAAAUCCAUGAUUAAAUUUGGAAAACUAGGCUUUACUACACCAUGGCAGAGGGGAACAACAAAACCAAUGAUCCUCCGGUUGUUGGCGAUGAUGAAGGAAUUGAUCCACAAACACUGGAGAUUGCUCGCAUUUUACGGCCACUACAUUACGAGAUUACAGAAGAAAAAACAUAUCCAGAUGAAGAAGAAGAAGUUAAGAAUAUUCGCGUCAUGAUUGUUGGCAUGUUAAAUGUGUGAAACACUUCUCUUGUAAAAAAUCUGAUAACCGACUUUAGAGAUGGAAGCAUCCCACCUUUACGUUCCGGUGGUAUUGAUCUUCACAAGUGCCAAUUGAUGGCAAAUGGUGAUUGGUGUUUAGAUAACGAACACAAAUCACAAAAAUAUAUAAGUGUUUUCCGCGAAAUGAAUACUGUUGCAUACACUACUUCUGUCGAUGACACUGAUAGCCUAGACGGCUCGCCUGUAGAAGGCAACCUAGAUGCUGAUCAAACUAUUUAUCAAAGACAUACUGAACCAAUACAGGGUAGGAACAAUGAUGAACACCAUAAAAAAAUGAUUUUGUACCAAUGUGUUCAACUUUAGAAGGUAAUAUGCAGAAUGACACCAACAUUAAACCUUCAAUGGACACCAAAAUUUCUUUAGAAAAGACAGAAAAAGAGAUCACUGUGUCUGUUUGGGAUUAUGCAGGCCAGAAACUUUAUUAUUCUACACAUCAAUUCUUCUUGACACAAAGGUUUGGAUGAAAAUGUUAAAGAGUUGGAUGGAUGUGGAAUUUGGUGUGGUUUGGUUAAUGAGUGUACGUAUUUGGAUGUAUUUAAGUUUUGGCUGAAUGCAAUCCACAUGUAUAGUGGUUAUAAGUCAGCAACAGGGAGAAUAAAACCAACUGUCAUUUUAGUUGGAACUCGAAAAGACGAAAUGGAGGGGAAUGAUCAAGACAAAGAAAAUACAAAGGAUAGAUAUUUUAAUAAAGCACUAUUGUCCUUUGAAAGAGAUUCACCAGUAUUAAAUCAUAUUCAUGAGAAGAUAUUCUAAGUGAACAAUUUAUCACCAACUGAUCCGGUUUUUGCUGAAUUGAGAGACGAAAUCAAACGUUUGUCUGAGAAUCAAGAUUACUGGGGUAAAGAUAAGUAUCCAGUUCGAUGGAUUCAUAUGGAGCAGUCUCUUGACAAAAUAAGAGAUGAAGGCAAGCAAUUAGUACACAUGGAUAAGAUUGAAGAAGUAAAUCUAUCCAAAAAACACCCACUUUCUAAAGACGAACUAUCAGUGUUUCUGGAAUUACAGCACAUACAAGGCAAUAUUCUUUUUUUCAACACCCCUUAACUUAAACAUUUGGUUGUUCUUGCUCCCCAAUGGAUCAUUGAAGCCUUCAGAUGUUUUGUACAAGAUAUCAGUAGAAGAAAACCAACAUUUCUUAAAGAUUGGGAAGACUAUGAGAAGCUUGCAAUUCUCAAACCACAAAUUAUAGAUGAAAUUAUGAACAAUAGUCCUUGUGACAUAAAGGACUAAAAAGACGAUGUAAUUAAGUAUAUGGAACACCUAAAUGUUAUGGCAGAGCCAAAGGCAACAGAACUAAACAAAUCUGGACACGAUGAAACGGAUGCCAUUUUAGAUAACAAUGUCGAAUUGCUUGAUUUUCACAUUGUUCCUUGUCGACUGAAAAAUGCACCCCCUCCCAUAGAGAAAUUCACUUCACCCGAUUGCGAACGAUUCAAACGAACCCCAAUUUUAGCGUUUGUUUUUUUGCGAAAAGUUUAUGCCUCCAUCUUUCUUCCAUAGGCUUGUUGCUGUAUGCAUCGGCGCUUGGCCAAUCAAAAAAGAAGGGGACAAAGAUCGCCUGUAUAACGGAUUGGCUAUUUUUGCCAUUCGCCCAACAUACACUUUAACCAUCUGGUAUAAAGACUACAUCAUUUAUGCAAGGAUAGCGUGUUAUUCAAAGAAGCUUACAUCUGAUAUUGACACCAAUCUUUGUCAAGAAGUUCGACACAAGCUUUGUUCGAGUUUGCAAGAUUUUGUAGGCCAUUCUGUAGAAACACCACGAACUGGUACAGCAUUUGAUAUGUAUAUUCAAUGUCCAUCCAUGAAAAUAUGUUUGCACAAUAAAGGAAUGCUGAGAGUGGCACAGUUCAAUUACGAGAGUGAAUUAGACUGCGAUGCAUGUAGUGAAAGGCAUCCAGUUGAAAGAUCAAGAUCAGAGGCUUUGCAAUAUUGGUUCAAAAAAGAACUGGAUUUAGCUGACAAAUGUGAUAGCGAUGAUUUAAACCAUCAAGCUGAAGACAAACAUCUAUCAAAAGCUGCCAGAAUUAUUGGUUAAGAAUGUUGCAUGCUUGGCAUUGAACUUAAGUUAAGCAAUGUGGAGUUGAACCAGAUGUAUGCUGACCCUGCUUGUAAUAACAAUAGGUAUGACUUUGUUUUCAAGUACCUUGUUAAAUGGAGGAACAGAAAAGGAGAGAAGGCAACGCUUCGAAAACUUAAUAGGGCUAUAAACGCUGCACGUUUGUAUUCCAACGUGGAAUCUACGCCGGUCUUUUAGAGAGUACUUACGUAAUUGAUUCUCUCAGAAUUGAGCUCCUUGACUUUUUAAAUCAACAACUCAAUUAUGACCAAAAUGUCAUAAUUAAAAAUUUAAGUGUGUUAAAAAGUAUAACCAGCUAUGGUAUACACAAUUGUAUUUUGUUCAUUUUGUUCGCUGAAUCAUUGAAUCAAUAAACAAAUGGAAUAAGGUGUCCAUGUGUAUCCCUCCUCGAAGAAAGCUUCAUUUAACACACACUUUGUCCUUCUCUACAAGUGUCU